CAGAAGACCUAUAUGAUUUUUUUCUUUUUUGUUUUUUACCUGGAUUACUGAGAUGCAUCAGGACAUUUUGCAUUAACAAGUAGUUAAUCUGUUAUUAGUAAGAUGAAUACAAAUAUUGAUCUAUUUAACUUCAGAUAGAUCUUCACCUGGAGCAGCUUGGCAGGACRGACUGGGUCUUUGUUCAGAUGAGUGGACACAGCCACUGUGAAGAUUGAAAUUCACCAACUUAGACCUCUUAAAGGAGAUGAUCUCCAAAGGCCUACAGGUGUCGAUGUGUGCAGCCUGCAGACCACCUGGGUCCAGACCGCCCCUCAGAUUGGGUGAGUUGAUGC